rnacentral:rRNA from 1 species
GGAUCUCGAAAGCCUGUCCCAGUUCGGACUGGAGUCUGCAACCCGACUCCACGAAGUUGGAUUCGCUAGUAAUCGCGCGUCAGCCAUGGCGCGGUGAAUACGUUCCCGGGCCUUGUACACACCGCCCGUCAAGCCAUGGGAGCCGGGGGCGCCUGAAGUCCGGGACCGCGAGGACCGGCCUAGGGCGAAACUGGUAACUGGGGCUAAGUCGUAACAAGGUAUC